rnacentral:rRNA from 1 species
UACGUAGGGGGCAAGCGUUGUCCGGAAUUAUUGGGCGUAAAGAGCGUGUAGGCGGUCCGAUAAGUCGGCUGUGAAAGUCCAGGGCUCAACCCUGGGAUGCCGGUCGAUACUGUCGGACUAGAGUUCGGAAGAGGCGAGUGGAAUUCCCGGUGUAGCGGUGAAAUGCGCAGAUAUCGGGAAGAACACCCGUGGCGAAGGCGGCUCUCUGGGACGGUACUGACGCUGAGACGCGAAAGCGUGGGGAGCGAACAGG